rnacentral:rRNA from 1 species
GAUAAACGCUGGCGGCGUGCAUGAGACAUGCAAGUCGUACGGACGGUCGGGGCUUGCUCCGGCCGUCAGUGGCGAACGGCUGAGUAACGCGUAGGUGACCUGCCCCGAAGUGGGGGAUAACUGCCCGAAAGGGUGGCUAAUACCGCAUGUGGUGGCACGUUCGCUCGUGCCAUCAAAGCCGCGAGGCGCUUCGGGAGGGGCCUGCGUCCGAUUAGCUCGUUGGUGGGGUAACGGCUCACCAAGGCGAUGAUCGGUAGGUGGUCUGAGAGGACGAUCA